rnacentral:lncRNA from 1 species
GAAGGAAGGGACCACAGUUUGAGUCUGAGCGUUCCUGUGAGGACCCAGGAGCCAAAGGUUAUCUGAGAGAUGUGCUCAGACUAGCAUUCCAGAACAAUCCCUCGGAGAAACUUGGGAUGUUCAAGAUGGAAUCGCAUCAGAAGUAGAGGAAGGGUCAGGAUGGUGCGGGUUGCCAACCUCAGCAUUCAGGAGCCUAGAGGAUCACAGUUCAAGAUCAGCCUGGGCAAAAUAGCAAGGCCCUGUCUUAAAAACAAGCAAACAAGAAAGACAGGCUCCCUGAUCUGGCUUGAAGAGAGAGAGGGCCAAGACGCCACUCAAACUCGGAAUGUGCCAUAUGGGGAACUGGUGGUGUCUUUCUCCAAAGCGGGGAACUUGGGAACAGGACCAAUUCAACAGGGAGAUGGUUUUGGCUGGAUUCCCCCAAGCCAUAUGGCUUUUUUCUCUGGUCAAAUCACCUCAGGGCCACAGAAAAGAAUUCCGAUCCGAACUGGUUUUCAGGUCACAGAGUGAGGUCAGGGUCUCCGUUUAGCGGUUCUUUCUCUAGCUCCACC